rnacentral:rRNA from 1 species
CCUACGGGUGGCAGCAGUGGGGAAUAUUGGGCAAUGGGCGCAAGCCUGACCCAGCAACGCCGCGUGAGGGAAGAAGGCUUUCGGGUUGUAAACUUCUUUUAAGAGGGAAGAGCAGAAGACGGUACCUCUUGAAUAAGCCACGGCUAACUACGUGCCAGCAGCCGCGGUAAUACGUAGGUGGCAAGCGUUGUCCGGAUUUACUGGGUGUAAAGGGCGUGUAGCCGGGCUUACAAGUGGGGUGUGAAAUUCCGGGGCUCAAGCCCGGACAUGCGUUUGAAACUGUUGGUCUUGAGUAUCGGAGAGGCAGGCGGAAUUCGUGGUGUAGCGGUGAAAUGCGUAGAUAUUAGGAGGAACACCAGUGGCGAAGGCGGCCUGCUGGACGACAACUGACGGUGAGGCGCGAAAGCGUGGGGAGCGAACAGGAUUAGAUACCCCAGUAGUC